GGGGUGACUAGUGACAGAGUGAGAGAGAGGGUGACUAGUGACAGAGUGAGGAAGGGGGUGACACAGUGACAGAGUGAGGGAGGGGGUGACUAGUGACAGAGUGAAGGAGGUGGUGACCGUCACUAGUCACCCCCUCCCUCUCUCUGUCAUAGUGACACCCUCCCUCACUCUGUCACUAGUCACCCCCUCCUCACUGUCGCAGCCACCCCUCCUCUCUGUCACUAGUGACACCCUCCCUCCCACUCUGUCACUAAGUCACCCCC